rnacentral:rRNA from 1 species
CACUGCUAUCGGGGUUCGAUUAAGCCAUGCGAGCCGAGAGGGUUCAGACCCUCGGCGCACUGCUCAGUAACACGUGGAUAACCUACCCUGAGGAGGGGGAUAACCCCGGGAAACUGGGGAUAAUACCUCAUAGGUUUCAGAUGCUGGAAUGCUCUGAAACCGAAAUGCUCCGGCGCCUCAGGAUGGAUCUGCGGCCGAUUAGGUUGUUGUUGGGGUAACGGCCCAACAAGCCCGUCAUCGGUACGGGUUGUGAGAGCAAGAGCCCGGAGAUGGAUUCUGAGACACCAAUCCAGGCCCUACGGGGCGCAGCAGGCGCGAAACCUUUACAAUGCGAGCAAUCGUGAUAAGGGAACCCCGAGUGCCUGAAACCAGGCUGUUCAGGUGUUUAAAAAGCACCUGGAGAAAGGGCCGGGCAAGACCGGUGCCAGCCGCCGCGGUAAUACCGGCGGCUCGAGUGGUGGCCGCUAUUAUUGGGCUUAAAGCGUUCGUAGCUGGGUUGUUAAGUCUCUUGGGAAAUCUCACGGCUCAACCGUGAGGCGACUAAGAGAUACUGGCAAUCUUGGGACCGGGAGAGGUGAGAGGUACUCCAGGGGUAGGAGUG